GGUUAAGCGACUAAGCGUACACGGUGGAUGCCCUGGCAGUCAGAGGCGAUGAAGGACGUGCUAAUCUGCGAUAAGCGUCGGUAAGGUGAUAUGAACCGUUAUAACCGGCGAUUUCCGAAUGGGGAAACCCAGUGUGUUUCGACACACUAUCAUUAACUGAAUCCAUAGGUUAAUGAGGCGAACCGGGGGAACUGAAACAUCUAAGUACCCCGAGGAAAAGAAAUCAACCGAGAUUCCCCCAGUAGCGGCGAGCGAACGGGGAGCAGCCCAGAGCCUGAAUCAGUGUGUGUGUUAGUGGAAGCGUCUGGAAAGGCGUGCGAUACAGGGUGACAGCCCCGUACACAAAAAUGCACAUAUUGUGAGCUCGAUGAGUAGGGCGGGACACGUGGUAUCCUGUCUGAAUAUGGGGGGACCAUCCUCCAAGGCUAAAUACUCCUGACUGACCGAUAGUGAACCAGUACCGUGAGGGAAAGGCGAAAAGAACCCCGGCGAGGGGAGUGAAAAAGAACCUGAAACCGUGUACGUACAAGCAGUGGGAGCACGCUUAGGCGUGUGACUGCGUACCUUUUGUAUAAUGGGUCAGCGACUUAUAUUCUGUAGCAAGGUUAACCGAAUAGGGGAGCCGAAGGGAAACCGAGUCUUAACUGGGCGUUAAGUUGCAGGGUAUAGACCCGAAACCCGGUGAUCUAGCCAUGGGCAGGUUGAAGGUUGGGUAACACUAACUGGAGGACCGAACCGACUAAUGUUGAAAAAUUAGCGGAUGACUUGUGGCUGGGGGUGAAAGGCCAAUCAAACCGGGAGAUAGCUGGUUCUCCCCGAAAGCUAUUUAGGUAGCGCCUCGUGAAUUCAUCUCCGGGGGUAGAGCACUGUUUCGGCAAGGGGGUCAUCCCGACUUACCAACCCGAUGCAAACUGCGAAUACCGGAGAAUGUUAUCACGGGAGACACACGGCGGGUGCUAACGUCCGUCGUGAAGAGGGAAACAACCCAGACCGCCAGCUAAGGUCCCAAAGUCAUGGUUAAGUGGGAAACGAUGUGGGAAGGCCCAGACAGCCAGGAUGUUGGCUUAGAAGCAGCCAUCAUUUAAAGAAAGCGUAAUAGCUCACUGGUCGAGUCGGCCUGCGCGGAAGAUGUAACGGGGCUAAACCAUGCACCGAAGCUGCGGCAGCGACGCUUAUGCGUUGUUGGGUAGGGGAGCGUUCUGUAAGCCUGUGAAGGUGUACUGUGAGGUAUGCUGGAGGUAUCAGAAGUGCGAAUGCUGACAUAAGUAACGAUAAAGCGGGUGAAAAGCCCGCUCGCCGGAAGACCAAGGGUUCCUGUCCAACGUUAAUCGGGGCAGGGUGAGUCGACCCCUAAGGCGAGGCCGAAAGGCGUAGUCGAUGGGAAACAGGUUAAUAUUCCUGUACUUGGUGUUACUGCGAAGGGGGGACGGAGAAGGCUAUGUUGGCCGGGCGACGGUUGUCCCGGUUUAAGCGUGUAGGCUGGUUUUCCAGGCAAAUCCGGAAAAUCAAGGCUGAGGCGUGAUGACGAGGCACUACGGUGCUGAAGCAACAAAUGCCCUGCUUCCAGGAAAAGCCUCUAAGCAUCAGGUAACAUCAAAUCGUACCCCAAACCGACACAGGUGGUCAGGUAGAGAAUACCAAGGCGCUUGAGAGAACUCGGGUGAAGGAACUAGGCAAAAUGGUGCCGUAACUUCGGGAGAAGGCACGCUGAUAUGUAGGUGAAGUCCCUCGCGGAUGGAGCUGAAAUCAGUCGAAGAUACCAGCUGGCUGCAACUGUUUAUUAAAAACACAGCACUGUGCAAACACGAAAGUGGACGUAUACGGUGUGACGCCUGCCCGGUGCCGGAAGGUUAAUUGAUGGGGUUAGCGCAAGCGAAGCUCUUGAUCGAAGCCCCGGUAAACGGCGGCCGUAACUAUAACGGUCCUAAGGUAGCGAAAUUCCUUGUCGGGUAAGUUCCGACCUGCACGAAUGGCGUAAUGAUGGCCAGGCUGUCUCCACCCGAGACUCAGUGAAAUUGAACUCGCUGUGAAGAUGCAGUGUACCCGCGGCAAGACGGAAAGACCCCGUGAACCUUUACUAUAGCUUGACACUGAACAUUGAGCCUUGAUGUGUAGGAUAGGUGGGAGGCUUUGAAGUGUGGACGCCAGUCUGCAUGGAGCCGACCUUGAAAUACCACCCUUUAAUGUUUGAUGUUCUAACGUUGACCCGUAAUCCGGGUUGCGGACAGUGUCUGGUGGGUAGUUUGACUGGGGCGGUCUCCUCCUAAAGAGUAACGGAGGAGCACGAAGGUUGGCUAAUCCUGGUCGGACAUCAGGAGGUUAGUGCAAUGGCAUAAGCCAGCUUGACUGCGAGCGUGACGGCGCGAGCAGGUGCGAAAGCAGGUCAUAGUGAUCCGGUGGUUCUGAAUGGAAGGGCCAUCGCUCAACGGAUAAAAGGUACUCCGGGGAUAACAGGCUGAUACCGCCCAAGAGUUCAUAUCGACGGCGGUGUUUGGCACCUCGAUGUCGGCUCAUCACAUCCUGGGGCUGAAGUAGGUCCCAAGGGUAUGGCUGUUCGCCAUUUAAAGUGGUACGCGAGCUGGGUUUAGAACGUCGUGAGACAGUUCGGUCCCUAUCUGCCGUGGGCGCUGGAGAACUGAGGGGGGCUGCUCCUAGUACGAGAGGACCGGAGUGGACGCAUCACUGGUGUUCGGGUUGUCAUGCCAAUGGCACUGCCCGGUAGCUAAAUGCGGAAGAGAUAAGUGCUGAAAGCAUCUAAGCACGAAACUUGCCCCGAGAUGAGUUCUCCCUGACUCCUUGAGAGUCCUGAAGGAACGUUGAAGACGACGACGUUGAUAGGCCGGGUGUGUAAGCGCAGCGAUGCGUUGAGCUAACCGGUACUAAUGAACCGUGAGGCUUAACCUU
rnacentral:rRNA from 1 species